UAUGAGAAUGUGUAUACAAAAGAGAA
rnacentral:piRNA from 1 species